rnacentral:rRNA from 1 species
AGUGAACGCUGGCGGUAGGCCUAACACAUGCAAGUCGAACGGCAGCACAGUAAGAGCUUGCUCUUACGGGUGGCGAGUGGCGGACGGGUGAGGAAUACAUCGGAAUCUACUUUUUCGUGGGGGAUAACGUAGGGAAACUUACGCUAAUACCGCAUACGACCUACGGGUGAAAGCAGGGGAUCUUCGGACCUUUCGCGAUUGAAUGAGCCGAUGUCGGAUUAGCUAGUUGGCGGGGUAAAGGCCCACCAAGGCGACGAUCCGUAGCUGGUCUGAGAGGAUGAUCAGCCACACUGGAACUGAGACACGGUCCAGACUCCUACGGGAGGCAGCAGUGGGGAAUAUUGGACAAUGGGCGCAAGCCUGAUCCAGCCAUACCGCGUGGGUGAAGAAGGACUUCGGGUUGUAAAGCCCUUUUGUUGGGAAAGAAAAGCAGCAGGUUAAUACCCCGCUGUUCUGACGGUACCCAAAGAAUAAGCACCGGCUAACUUCGUG